rnacentral:tRNA from 1 species
AUUUAAGUAGCUUAAAUUUUAAAGCAUAAUGUUGAAAAUAUUAAUAUAAUUAACUAAUUUAAUUCUUAAAUA